UACAGAGGGGGCAAGCGUUGUUCGGAUUUACUGGGCGUAAAGGGCGCGUAGGCGGCCAGCGCAAGUCAGUUGUGAAAUCUCCGGGCUUAACUCGGAAAGGUCAACUGAUACUGCGCGGCUAGAGUGCAGAAGGGGCAACUGGAAUUCUCGGUGUAGCGGUGAAAUGCGUAGAUAUCGAGAGGAACACCUGCGGCGAAGGCGGGUUGCUGGGCUGACACUGACGCUGAUGCGCGAAAGCCAGGGGAGCGAACGGG
rnacentral:rRNA from 1 species